rnacentral:rRNA from 1 species
AUUGAACGCUGGCGGCAGGCUUAACACAUGCAAGUCGAGCGAGCGGCGGACGGGUGAGUAAUGUCUGGGAAACUGCCUGUUGGAGGGGGCUAACUACUGGAAACGGUAGCUAUUACCGCAUACCAUCAGAUGAGCCCAGAUGCGAUUAGCUAGUAGGUGGGGUAAUGGCUCACCGAGGCGACGAUCCCUAGCUGGUCUGAGAGGAUGACCCGCCCCCCUGGCACUGUGACACGGACCAGACUCCAACGACAGGCAGCAGUGGGGAAUAUUGCACAAAGGGCGCAAGCCUGGUACAGCCAGGCCACGUGUGGGAAGACGGCCGUCGGGUUGUAAAGCACUUUCGGCAGGGAGGCGUUAGUCGCAGAAGAAGCACCGGCUAACACCGUGCCAGCGGCCGCGGUAAUAC